rnacentral:lncRNA from 1 species
AACUAAGAAAAUCUAAAAUUUGAGCCAAAAUUUGAUGCGUGAACAGUAACUUGAUGACAUGGCAGCCACAUAUUGGUUGCGGUUUCUACAAUUUUUAUUUUUCAAAGUCCAAGUCUUGACCAAUUUUAAUUUGGAUUGGUGGAAUUUGUUUUAAGGAGGGAAGAAUAAGUCUUGGAGCCUUUUUUUCAAGUUUCACAUUUC